GUUAAUUUGGUUUAAUUAUGACAUCAAAGUGCAACUGUGGGGCUGAACAAAGACUGUCACAAUGGAGUAUGUUCCAGGCUUGUUGUGCAAAAGGACACGUCUAGGGAAAGGCUGCUGUGUAUGCUUCUUCAGAAUAGAAAGAGAGAUGUGAUGCAUCCAGGCCAAUAUCUAGAGCAGGUUUCAUUAUGGUACAACAGCCACAACCAACUCUGCUGAGUGGUGCUCUCCUUCCUCCACUGCCACCCUUUAUAAAGGAAGCUUUUACCUUCAAGUUCCUGUGUCUGCCCUGGCAAGCCAGUUGA
rnacentral:lncRNA from 1 species